CCCUGAUGCACAAGGUACUACCCAAAACUUUUUAACAUUUUAUUUUUUCAAAAUUUUCAAAAUUUCCUUCACAGUACACUCUAUUUAUAUUUCAAUAUAAUUAUACAUUUUAAUAAAACUUUUUAAAAAAAAAUUACUCUUAAAAUAAAAUAUUUAUUCAAUAU
rnacentral:rRNA from 1 species